rnacentral:lncRNA from 1 species
UCCUUCCUCUCUCUCUCUCUCUCUCUCUCUAUCUCUCUGUAAGUGUCUUUCUAAUACACAUCUAUCACUCAGCUUGGUUUAACCCCUCACACGCACACACAUGUGAGAUCCCAGAGUUCUGUCUGCUUUGUUCUGACAAGGAAAACUGGAAUGCACACAAAUCACAUGAAGGACACAAAGAACAACUUUAACAACUCUCUCCUUGGUGCCAAAAAGGAGAAGCUUAUUCAGGCGAUUAAAAAGAUCAAACAUGAAAUUGAUGAAUGUAACGAAGCUGAGAAAGAGGCCUUUGUGGACGCACUGGAGGUCGAGAACAGAUUUGAAGAGAUAGAACAUGAAAUUCGAGCAGAGUUCCAAAACCUCCAUCGUUUCCUGGAUGAGGAGGAAGAGACAGACCUGGAGCGGCUAAGGAAGGAAAGGGACAAACAAGUGAAGAUCUUAAAAGAGAGAGAGAGAAAGAUUGCCAUGCAGAGUAGAGAUCUAGAGAAAGCCAUUGAGACACUGAACUGCAAACUGCGGGAAGAUGACAGCCCAAAACUUUUGAAGGAAAUCAAAGAGCUUCUGAAAAG